CCUACGGGAGGCAGCAGUGGGGAAUAUUGGGCAAUGGGCGCAAGCCUGAACCAGCAACGCCGCGUGAAGGAAGAAGGCUUUAGGGUUGUAAAAUUCUUUUGACAGGGAAGAGUAGAAGCAGGUGCGUGUCGAAUCAGACACGGCUAACUAAGUGCCAGCGGCUGAGGUAAUACGUAAGUGUCAAGCGUUGUACUGAUUUACUGGGUGAAACGGACGUGUAAGCGGGUUUACAAGUCAGAGGUGAAAUUCUGGGGCUUAACCGCAGAACUGCAUUUGAAACUGGUGAACUUGAGAACUGUUGAGGCAGACGGAAUGUCUAGUGUAGCGGUGAAAUGCGUAGAGAUCAUGAAGAACACCAGUUGCGAAGGCAGUCUGCUGGACAACAUCUGACGUUGAGGCGCGAAAGCGUGGGGAGCAAACAGGAUUAGAUACCCGAUUAUC
rnacentral:rRNA from 1 species